rnacentral:rRNA from 1 species
UACGUAGGUGGCAAGCGUUGUUCGGAAUUAUUGGGCGUAAAGGGCGCGUAGGCGGUUUGUUAAGUCGGUCGUGAAAGCCCGGGGCUCAACCCCGGAGGGUCGACCGAUACUGGCAGACUAGAGUACAGAAGAGGUAACUGGAAUUCCUGGUGUAGCGGUGGAAUGCGUAGAGAUGUGGAGGAACACCGAUGGCGAAGGCAGCCCCCUGGGUCAACACUGACGCUCAUGCACGAAAGCGUGGGGAGCAAACAGG